UCGAUCCCUAGCUCCAAGUUGUUCACUGUGGCAGGGGUAGGGGUCCCAGGUAAGCUAAGGCUCGUUAGAGUCUUACAUUUGGUGCAUGGGCUGGGAAUUCGACCUCCUGUGAGGACACACCAGAGAGCCGUGAAUCAGAGGUCUCGAGCAGACCCACCUCACAGGUUCUGACUGUCGGGAAGAAAGAAGCACGGGAGGAGGGAUCCGGGCCUGAGAGAAGUCAAUCCUCCAAGACCCUUCGCCAGCGGAUCUGUUGCUCCAAGACCCUCCUCCUCCAUAUCACCCUUCCCUUUCCCCCAUGGCCCUGCCGGUGCUGGCUCCAGCUCUGGAAUCCUCAGCCCAUAUAGGACCAGGGCCAUUGUAUCCCACUUUACCGGAGGAAUGAACAGGAGGAGAACCCCAACUUCCCGGUCCUGCCAUGGGGACCCAAAGUCUGAGAGCCACCUCCCCUGAUACCACGGUGGCUCUCUUGCUGGGGACAUAUGGGCCUCUGGAAAAGGGCAAUCAGGCUAUGCAAUAUUGGCCCUUCUCUUUGGCUGACUUGUACAACUGGAAGGCCCAACCCCCCCCCCUUUCCCAAGGGGCAGAUUAAUGUCUUUGAGACUGUUUUAUUUACUCAUCAGCCCACC
rnacentral:lncRNA from 7 species